rnacentral:ncRNA from 1 species
AUGUAAAUUUUUGUGUAUUUAUUUUAAUUAUUUAAAUAGUAUUAAAGUGGGUCAAUAAUUGAUUUUAUUAAAAUAAGAAGUCUUAUUAAUGGUAAUUUUUUUACUAGUAACGAAGUGAGUGCCAGCAGUUGCGGUUAUACUUACAUUGGGAAUAUGAAUUAUUAUGGGUUAAAUAAUAACUUUAAGGUUUAAAAAAAUUAUAUUAUGCGGUGAAAUUUUAAUAUUUUAUAUUGGAUUAUUUAUGAAUUUAAUAAAGUUUAAAUUAAAACUAGGAUUAGAUACCCUAUUAUUUAAAUAGUAAAUAAAAUUUUAGGUAGUAAGUGAUAUAUUCUUGAAACUUAAAAAAUUUGGCGGUAUUUUAAUCUGUUCAGGGGGGCCUGGUUUUUAAUCGACAGUCCGCGUUAAAUCUUACUUUAGUUUGUAAUCAGCUUAUAUACCGCCGUUGGGAGAGUAUUUUAUAAAAAAAAUAAUUUUCGAUAAUUUUAAUUAAAUUUAAAUCAGGUCAAGGUGUAGCUUAUGUUAAAGUAAAAGUGGGUUACAAUAAAUUAUUUAUUUAUAUGGAUAAAAUUAUGAAAAAAUUUUUGAAAGCGGAUUUGAAAGUAAAAUUUAUGGAGUUUAUAGUUUGAAAGUAGUUUUAAAAUAUGCACAUAUCGCCCGUCACUCUUAUUGUUUAAGAUAAGGUAAGUCGUAACAUAGUAGAUGUACUGGAAAGUGUAUCUAGAAUG